rnacentral:lncRNA from 1 species
UUGUGGUCGCCUUCUGUUCCGCUGCUAAUUGCUGUGUUUACAUAGCUGACGACAGCGUUAACAUGCGCGGGUGGUUUGUUAUGAGUAUAAUUAUUGCGUGUGUAGCUAGAUAGAUAACCCAGCGAGUAGGCCAAGAGGAGACAGAUGAAGUAAACAACAGGUUUAACGGCAGAUGAAAUUCUCUUUGAGUAGCGAAAGUGGUGCGGCAGAGGUGGGGAUCGUGGUUCUUGUUUCAUGUUACAAGACUAGUUCUUCGAUCGGCGGGUUUAAUUUUGGUUAUAAGAGAAAAGGGAUUGCUAAUUAAUGGACAAUGGUAUUGUAUAUAUGGAAAUUAAAAGAGGGGGAAAAAUUUUCCUUUUACAGCUGCAGCAAUAAUAUAACAUUAUAAUGGCUUGGAAUCCAGAGAAAGAAAGUUCUUAAUAUUUUCAAGUGAAUUAUGGAAUUACGAUCAUGAAAAAUUGCUACCCUUUCUUCCUGUAUU